UACAUGGGGUGCAAACGUUGCUCGGAAUUAUUGGGCGUAAAGCGCACGUAGGCGGUUCGUUAAGUCCGCUGUGAAAGUCGGGGGCUCAACCCUCGGAUGCCGGUGGAUACUGUCGGGCUUGAGUACGGAAGAGGCGAGUGGAAUUCCUGGUGUAGCGGUGAAAUGCGCAGAUAUCAGGAGGAACACCAAUUGCGAAGGCAGCUCGCUGGGACGUUACUGACGCUGAGACGCGAAAGCGUGGGGAGCAAACAGG
rnacentral:rRNA from 1 species